rnacentral:rRNA from 1 species
UAAAGGCUGAACCAGCAACUUGAAAGAAUGAAAAGUUUUUUAAAUAUUAAAAAACGAAUAUAUUAACUGUAAAAUUCUAGAUAAAAAAAAAGAAUAAGACAAAAUUUUAUCUAAAAGUCUUGACCAAAUUACGUGCCAGCAGUCGCGGUAACACGUUGAAGACGAGUGUUAUUCAUCUUUAUUAGGUUUAAAGGGUACCUAGACUGUGAAUUUAGUCUAAAUAAGAUACAGAUUCACUAGAGUUUUAUAUGAGAAGGUAGAAUUUUUGGAUUAGAGAUAGAAUUUGUCAAAACUAAAAAGACUGAUAACGGUGAAGACGACCUUCUAUGUAAAAACUGACGUUGAGGGACGAAGGCUUGGGUAACGAACAGGAUUAGAUACCCUAUUAGUCCAAGCAGAAAAUUAUGAGUGUCUUAGAUUAGAAUUAUUUGGUCUAAAAACGAAAGUAUAAGCAUUCCACCUUAAGAGUAAUGUGGCAACACAGAAACUUAAAUCAUUAGACCGUUACUGAAACCAGUAGUGAAGUAUGUUGUUUAAUUCGAUGAUCCGCGAAGAACCUUACCACAAUUUGUAUAUUAUUAAUUUAAUACAGGUGCUGCACGGCUGUCUUUAGUUAAUGUCGUGAGACUAAGGCUAGUUCCUUAAAUUAACGUACACCCCAGGUUUAUUUUAAAAUAAAAGCAAACUUACCGCCCUUUAUAUUGGUAUAGGUAAAUUAACGGGGAUUAAGACAAGUCAUCAUGGCCUUA